rnacentral:rRNA from 1 species
UGAGGAAUCUUGCGCAAUGGGGGAAACCCUGACGCAGCAACGCCGCGUGAGUGAGGAAGGUCUUCGGAUCGUAAAGCUCUGUCAGAUGGGAAGAAAUGCAUGGGCGUUAAUAGCGUUCAUGCUUGACGGUACCGUCAGAGGAAGCACCGGCUAACUCCGUGCCAGCAGCCGCGGUAAUACGGGGGGUGCAAGCGUUGUUCGGAAUCAUUGGGCGUAAAGAGCGUGUAGGCGGCUUGAUAAGUCAGAUGUGAAAGCCCUAGGCUCAACCUGGGAAGUGCAUUUGAAACUGUCAUGCUUGAGUAGGGGAGAGGGAAGUGGAAUUCCUGGUGUAGAGGUGAAAUUCGUAGAUAUCAGGAGGAACACCGGUGGCGAAGGCGACUUCCUGGCCCUAUACUGACGCUGAGACGCGAGAGCGUGGGUAGCAAACA